AAGUAAAAUCGUAACAAGGUUUCCGUAGGUGAACCUGCGGAAGGAUCAUUAAAAAUUGGGUGACUGUAAUUUAGGUUAACCCAUUAAUAAUAUCCUACCCUUUGUGAAUUUGUUUGUUAUGUAAAAUUUUUGUCUAUCCCUAAAGAAAGUUGGAUAAGUGUAAUAGCUUAAAAAACUUUUUUUUAGGGAAUGGCUUAAAGACUUUUAUUUAAAAUUAAACUUUUUGUAUUCAUUUGUCUAAAAUUAAAUUUUUAAAUAAAUAAUUUAAAAACAACUUUUGACAAUGGAUCUCUUGGUUCUCGCAACGAUGAAGAACGCAGCAAAUGCGAUAAGUAAUGUGAAUUGCAGAAUACGUGAAUCAUCAAAUCUUCGAACGCAUAUUGCACUUUUUAGUUUACUAAAAAAGUAUGUCUGUUUGAGUAUCAGUAAAAUAUCUCAUAAAAUCAUUUGAUUUAUGGUUAUGAGUGUUUACAACGAUAAACAAGUUGUUCACUUUAAAUGGAUUUUAAUUGAAAUCGUCGGUUGGGAACGAUUUUAAUUUUUUUAAAAAAUUGGAGAAAAUUUUCCCGUAAAAGGAAUAAAGCUAUUUCAGUUUUUUAGAAAUUUUAAUAGUUUCCAUACCGGUACAGUUAAAGGAAUUUAUUUAUAAAUAACUUGAUCUCAAAUCAGAUAAGAGUACCCGCUGAACUUAAGCAUAUCAAUAGCGGAGGAAAAGAAACUAACAAGGAUUCCCUUAGUAACGGCGAGUGAAGCGGGAAGAGCUCAAUUUGAAAUCUUCAAGUUCUACCUUGACGAAUUGUAGUUUAAAGAAGUGUUUUCUGUUAGAGGAGUGGCAAAAGUUCUUUGGAAUAGGACAUCAUAGAGGGUGAGAAUCCCGUAUUUGGUCAUUCUUUCUAGCUGUGUGAUACACUUUCAAAGAGUCGGAUUGUUUGGGAAUGCAGUCCAAAAUGGGUGGUAAAUUUCAUCUAAAGCUAAAUAUUGGCGAGAGACCGAUAGCGAACAAGUACCGUGAGGGAAAGAUGAAAAGAACUUUGAAAGAGAGUUAAACAGUACGUGAAAUUGUCAAAAGGGAAGCGUUUGACACCAGUGUUGUUUUUCCGAAAAUCAAUUGUGCCUGGCUGGAUUUUGUAGGAGUUUGACCUUAUCAGCUUCUUCUGCUUUUUUCCGGUCUGGUGCAAUGCACUUUCGGUUAACAAGUCAACAUCAAUUUCUUUGUUGUAAAAGGGUAAUUGGAAGGUGGCUUUCUUUUCGGAGAAAGUGUUUAUAGCCUUUACCUCUACAAUCGGAGAGAUUGAGGUCUGCAGCGUAGAUCCUUCGGGUUAGAUACGUUUGUGCAAGCUACAGCUUUCAUAGACAACAAGUUGUCUAUGUAAAAGCUGUAGCUUAGCACAAACGUACCUAACCCGAAGGAUCUACGCUGCAGACUCAAUCUCUCCGAUUGUAGAGGUAAAAGGCUAUAAACACUUUCUCCGAAAAGAAAACCACUU
rnacentral:misc_RNA from 1 species